AGAGUUUGAUCCUGGCUCAGGACGAACGCUGGCGGCAUGCCUAAUACAUGCAAGUCGAGCGGACUUGAAGAGAAGCUUGCUUCUCUGAUGGUUAGCGGCGGACGGGUGAGUAACACGUAGGCAACCUGCCCUCAAGCUUGGGACAACUACCGGAAACGGUAGCUAAUACCGAAUAGUUGUUUUCUUCUCCUGAAGAGAACUGGAAAGACGGAGCAAUCUGUCACUUGGGGAUGGGCCUGCGGCGCAUUAGCUAGUUGGUGGGGUAACGGCUCACCAAGGCGACGAUGCGUAGCCGACCUGAGAGGGUGAUCGGCCACACUGGGACUGAGACACGGCCCAGACUCCUACGGGAGGCAGCAGUAGGGAAUCUUCCGCAAUGGGCGAAAGCCUGACGGAGCAAUGCCGCGUGAGUGAUGAAGGUUUUCGGAUCGUAAAGCUCUGUUGCCAGGGAAGAACGCUUGGGAGAGUAACUGCUCUCAAGGGACG
rnacentral:rRNA from 1 species